rnacentral:rRNA from 1 species
CCUACGGGAGGCAGCAGUGGGGGAUAUUGCACAAUGGGGGGAACCCUGAUGCAGCGACGCCGCGUGGGUGAAGGAGUGCUUCUGCAUGUAAAGCCCUAUCGGCAGGGAAGAAGCACGACGUUACCUGACUCAGAAGCCCCGGCUAGCUACGUGCCAGCAGCCGCGGUCAUGCGUAGGUGGCGAGCGUUAUCCGGAUUCACUGGGUGUAAAGGGAGCGUAGACGGCCAUGCAAGCCAGGGGUGAAAGCCCGGGGCCCAACCCCGGGACUGCCCUUGGAACUGCAUGGCGGGAGUGCGGGAGGGGCAGGCGGAAUGCCUGGUGUAGCGGUGAAAUGCGUAGAUAUCAGGAGGAACACCGGCGGCGAAGGCGGCCUGCUGGACCGCGACUGACGUUGAGGCUCGAACGCGUGGGGAGCGAACAGGAUUAGAUACCCUGGUAGUC